UACGUAGGGGGCGAGCGUUGUCCGGAGUUACUGGGCGUAAAGCGCACGCAGGCGGUCCGUUAAGUUUGGAGUGACAGUUGGUGGCUCAACCACCAAAGUGCUUUGAAAACUGGCAGACUUGAGGGCUUCAGAGGGACACGGAAUUCCGGGUGGAGUGGUGAAAUGCGUAGAGAUCCGGAGGAACACCGGUGGCGAAGGCGGCGUCCUGGACCAACACUGACACUGAUGAGCGAAAGCCAGGGGAGCAAACGGG
rnacentral:rRNA from 1 species